rnacentral:lncRNA from 1 species
UGGUCUCCUUAUGGCUGCAGCGGCCGCACUAAGACACUGGCCACACCUGGUUUCUCCACAGCCGCUGCAGCCACGAGGAGAAGGCCACCCUCUCACAGUUCAAACACAGGUGCACCCGCCGUGGGACCACAGCCAAAGUGGAGCCAUGGAAUGUGCCUGACACCCACAGCCCUGCCUCCAGUCACUGCCCGACACCCACAGCCCUGCCCCUCAGUCACUGCCGCCACCCACAGCCCUGCCCUCAGUCACUGCCCGCCACCCACAGCCCUGCCCCUCAGUCACUGCCCGCCACCCCCAGCCCUGCCCCUCAGUCACUGCACUGCCCGCCACCCACAGCCCUGCCCCUCAGUCACUGCUCUCAGUCACUGCCCGUCACCCACAGCCCUGCCCCUCAGUCACUGCCCGACACCCACAGCC